UUUCCGUAGGUGAACCUGCGGAAGGAUCAUUACAGAGUUCCGGCCCUUCGGGGUCGAUCUCCCACCCUUUGCUAUACCUUACCUUUUGUUGCUUUGGCGGGCCGCGCCUCGUGCGCCUAGAUUCGCGUCUAGCGUGCCCGCCAGAGGACCCCUAAACUCUGAAUGUUAGUGUCGUCUGAGUACUAUUAAAUAGUUAAAACUUUCAACAACGGAUCUCUUGGUUCUGGCAUCGAUGAAGAACGCAGC
rnacentral:misc_RNA from 1 species